rnacentral:rRNA from 1 species
AACGAACGCUGGCGGCAUGCCUAACACAUGCAAGUCGAACGAUACCUUCGGGUCUAGUGGCGCACGGGUGCGUAACGCGUGGGAACCUGCCCUUAGGUUCGGAAUAACUCCCCGAAAGGGGUGCUAAUACCGGAUAAUGUCUUCGGACCAAAGAUUUAUCGCCGUUGGAUGGGCCCGCGUUGGAUUAGCUAGUUGGUAGGGUAAAAGCCUACCAAGGCGACGAUCCAUAGCUGGUCUGAGAGGAUGAUCAGCCACACUGGGACUGAGACACGGCGCAGACUCCUACGGGAGGCAGCAGUGGGGAAUAUUGGAAAGUGGGCGAAAGCCUGAUCCAGCAAUGCCGCGUGAGUGAUGAAGGACUUAGGGUUGUAAAGCUCUUUUACACGGGAUGAUAAUGACAGUACCGGGAGAAUAAGCUCCGGCUAACUCCGUG